rnacentral:tRNA from 1 species
UGGGGCGUCGCCAAGUGGUAAGGCAGCGGGUUUUGGUCCCGCCACGCGUGGGUUCGAAUCCUACCGCCCCAGCCA